GUCCGCAAGGACAAUUUGAUAAUUUGACCUCAAAUCAGGUAGGACUACCCGCUGAACUUAAGCAUAUCAAUAAGCGGAGGAAAUCUCU
rnacentral:rRNA from 1 species